rnacentral:misc_RNA from 1 species
AUGGAGAUGAAUACAGAGAGGAAAAGGAGGUUGUAGUGUCUCUGUUAUUCACUAUGAGUACGACAACUUCUGAUCAUCCCGAUCAUCAUCAGCAGCAUUCAGGAAACGGUGUCGUUUUGACCAGAACUUCUAGUAAUGUCGAUGAAGCGAGCAAGGAAACAGAGGAUUUACAAUCCAUUACGAGAUAUUCACAUGGAUCUAUCUCUUUGAUCGGUGGAAGAAGAGAAAUGGAGGAUGCUCUGUCAGUGAAGCUGAAUUUAUUGACGAAUUAUGAUUUUUUCGGUGUUUAUGAUGGACAUGGAGGGUCAUGUGUAGCUCAUGCCUGCCGUGACUUGUUGCACAAGUUACUGAUGGACGUAGUUGUUGAAGAAGAUGGGAAAUUAGAAGACAUAAAUUGGGGGAAAGUGAUGACGAUGAGUUUCUGUAAGAUGGAUGAAGAGGUGAACAGGAUUCAUGGGGCGGAAGUGGCGACAAUUGGAUCAACAGCAGUCGUGGCGAUUGUGGGGGAGGAAGAGGUAAUAGUUGCCAAUUGUGGAGAUUCUAGAGCUGUGCUUUCACGAGGUGGAGUUGCAUUAGCCUUGUCUAAUGAUCAUAAGCCGGACAGACCUGAUGAACUUGAGAGAAUUGAGAAAUCAGGCGGGAAGGUCAUCAAUUGGAAUGGGCAUCGAGUGUUGGGAGUACUGGCUACUUCAAGAUCCAUAGGGGAUAACUACCUAAAACCGUAUGUAAUACCAGAGCCAGAAGUCACAGUGAGCAAAAGAAGUGAUGGAGAUGAGUUCUUAAUACUUGCCAGUGAUGGUCUGUGGGAUGUUAUUCCCAACGACGUUGCUUGUGAUUUUACAAGGAGAUGCUUAAAUGGUCAGAUUAGAAGGUGUAAAAAUGGGAUUGAGCCAUCUCAAAAUAAGGUCAUGAAAGACAAUGUUGCAGCAAAGGCAGCAUCCUUACUCGCAGAAUUAGCGAUUUCACGGGGCAGUACAGAUAACAUAAGCAUCAUUAUAGUUGAGUUGAAGAAAUCUUUAGUCAGCGGAGAUGGAAAUAGUAUUAAUA